rnacentral:antisense_RNA from 1 species
GAGCAUGCAGAGAAAUUGCUUUAGCCUCUGAUAAAUAAAACAGACUGCCAUGGAGAAAAUUACAGCGAGGAAAUUACAGACAUCAUCUCCUUUGAACAGGGAAAAGGUAACAGUUUAGGAAAAUGCAAGAAGACAUAUGUAGAUGAGACAAAGAUAGACCAUGUCUAUACAUGUAUGAAAUGGAUGGGAGACAAAGGAAGCAACACUCAAUGAGCCAGGACCAUAAAAGCCACAGAAAUAUAAGAAAUGAAUGGGACUACUCUCUGAUCAUUGAAAAAGAGAGACAGAACAUUCGAUGGAGGCAGAAAGAGCGAGGAGUCAGGCACCUCAGGAACUUGAGAGACAUUGAUUAUUUUAGACACUUAAAAUGCAAGAACCAAAGAAGAAUAAAGACCAGGUUUCCAGUUUCCAACAUAAGAGAGUAAAUAUCACAAGGCACAUACACAAGAUGAAACAUUGACAUUUCACAGAAUCGGUUAAUGAGAAAAGAAUAAAAAGGCACUUUAAAGACAUCAUUUCAUGAUAAGGAUUUAUUUUGAAGGACAAAAAAAGAGAAACCAAGAAGACCCCACACCCGGAAAGACCAAUGUGUAACAGUCGCUCAAGACAGAUUUAGAUGGUCAAUCACAGAGGGUAAAGGAUUAUAGAUAAAACUGGAGAUGAACAAAAGGAUGGGAAAGCAGAAUUCAACACAAAAGAGGCCUUGGUGAUUCCAAGAAGAGCUGCUAUACCUGGUGCAGGUACUGGCACCUUAGGUUUAACUUCUGGAAGGACUUCUUCUUCAGGUGGAGCCUCCACUUUCUUAGGAGCAGGAACUGGCACCUUCUUCUCAGGCACAGGCUUCUUGGGUACCUCUGGCACUUUAACGAAAUGAUUUAGAGAAAAAUUUUAUACGACAUAAAAAUACUGAUUCCAAGCAUAGUUUCAAAAGAUUAAGAUAAGAUUUGUGAGUUACUUAGCAAUAUAUGUACACAUGUCCAUACACAUAAAUAAAAAAAUUUUGAACUUGUAGCUGAAACACAAAGAUGUAUACCUUUCACUUCAAUAACUUCUUCCUGUACUGGAGUCCGGGAAGGUUUU